GCUCCCAUGGCGUAUUGGUCACUGCACUCGCCUUGCACGCGGGAGACCCGGGUUCGAUUCCCGGCGGGGUCA
rfam:Asian citrus Psyllid, Diaphorina citri - Florida Strain, whole genome shotgun sequence.